rnacentral:misc_RNA from 1 species
GAUGAAGAACGUAGCGAAAUGCGAUACGUAAUGUGAAUUGCAGAAUUCAGUGAAUCAUCGAAUCUUUGAACGCACAUUGCGCCCGCCAGUAUUCUGGCGGGCAUGCCUGUUCGAGCGUCAUUUCAACCAUCAAGCCCCCCGGCUUGUGUUGGGGACCUGCGGCUGCCGCAGGCCCUGAAAAGCAGUGGCGGGCUCGCUGUCACACCGAGCGUAGUAGCAUACAUCUCGCUCUGGGCGUGCUGCGGGUUCCGGCCGUUAAACCACCUUCAUAACCCAAGGUUGACCUCGGAUCAGGUAGGAAGACCCGCUGAACUUAAGCAUAUCAAUAAGCGGAGGA